rnacentral:rRNA from 1 species
AUUGAACGCUGGCGGCAGGCCUAACACAUGCAAGUCGAACGAGUGGCGGACGGGUGAGUAAUGUCUGGGAAACUGCCUGAUGGAGUGGGAUAACUACUGGAAACGGUAGCUAAUACCGCAUACCAUCGGAUGUGCCGAGAUUGGAUUAGCUAGUCGGUGGGGUAAAGGCUCACAUAGGCGACGAUCCCUAGCUGGUCUGAGAGGCUGACCAGCCACACUGGAACUGAGACACGGUCCAGACUCCUACGGGAGGCAGCAGUGGGGAAUAUUGCACAAUGGGCGAAAGCCUGAUGCAGCCACGCCGCGUGUAUGAAGAAGGCCUUCGGGUUGUAAAGUACUUUUAGCGGGGAGGCGUUACCCGCACAAGAAGCAACGGCUAACUCCGUGCCAGCAGCCGCGGUAAUAC